rnacentral:rRNA from 1 species
CCUACGGGUGGCUGCAGUGGGGAAUAUUGGACAAUGGGCGAAAGCCUGAUCCAGCCAUGCCGCGUGUGUGAAGAAGGCCUUCGGGUUGUAAAGCACUUUCAGUGGGGAAGAAAGCCUUGGGGCUAAUACCCUCGAGGAAGGACAUCACCCACAGAAGAAGCACCGGCUAACUCCGUGCCAGCAGCCGCGGUAAUACGGAGGGUGCGAGCGUUAAUCGGAUUACUGGGCGUAAAGCGCGCGUAGGCGGUCUGAUAAGCCGGUUGUGAAAGCCCCGGGCUCAACCUGGGAACGGCAUCCGGAACUGUCAGGCUAGAGUGCAGGAGAGGAAGGUAGAAUUCCCGGUGUAGCGGUGAAAUGCGUAGAGAUCGGGAGGAAUACCAGUGGCGAAGGCGGCCUUCUGGACUGACACUGACGCUGAGGUGCGAAAGCGUGGGUAGCAAACAGGAUUAGAUACCCUGGUAGUC